AGAUGGUCCCGCGCUCCCGAGCGUCUCCGUGAGAGGAUUCCGCGGCGCUGCCUCUAUUAUGAUGCCGUAAAUCUUUUUAAAUUCUGGAACUAAUUAUAUAGAGGAUAUGUCUCAAUUUGUUCUGCGUUAAUGCCACAGUGGGGACGGGGCCCGGCCGUGGCCAGCGCAGAUACGGAGACCCAUGAAAUUGAUGAGCUGGGAGUAUGCUUCCAGGCCUGAGCGCACCAUCUGGAAUUCCAGUCUGAGGUUACAAUUAGAACUCCUGACCCCAGAUUCAACUUUGCAAACAAC
rnacentral:lncRNA from 1 species